AAUAACUUCAUUUUUUAGUUUUUUGAUACAAUAUUUUGACUCUUCGUCUUAUUUGAAAUUUUUUUGUGAUUAAUAUUUUUAUUGUUACUAGAUGAUAAAAUAUGAAUAGUACUUUAUGUGUGACUAAUUUGUUUAGUUUUUUGUACAAUUUUUUCAAGUAAGAUGAAUGGUCAAACGUUAGACACGGAAAAAC
rnacentral:pre_miRNA from 1 species